rnacentral:lncRNA from 1 species
UAACAAGCCUGUACACUGUUAAUACUUCUGAUGCCCGAAAAAAAGAACACUAAUAGAACACAGUCUUAAUGUUUCAGAUGCCAAAUGCUUUGAUAUUAUUCCUGUUAAUGUCAUGAGCCUGGACUGGCUCACGGAACAAGAACUGAGCACUGCAGUCCAGCACUACAGAAGGAAUGACAUGAGGGUUGUUGAUCAGCGUUUGGGGGUGUAUCAAUCUGAUGCAGAAAGACAAGUGUUAUUAGAGCUCCCAGGAGACAGUCUCUCUUACAAGCCCAGUUUGGUCCUUCUCCAGUGUCUCCUCUUGGAGUUGUACCUGAUCUUAUUGCCCGUUUUCAUGCGAAUCCAUUGAGGAAUGGGGCGGUUUUGCUUCUGCUUCUUCGCGAGGAAGCGUUUGAUCUUGAAGGUCUUGUGAGACGACUGCAAGAGAAAGGGGCAGUCAGUGCGGCGGGCUCGGGGAGCUCGGCCAGGCCCCGGCAGGCCCCGCCGCGGGACAGCCACAGCGGGCGGGAGAGGCGCAGCGCCCCGCGCCGACUCGGGAAGGCGAUAACCAGCGCCCUCCCGCCCCGCCAGACCCCGCCGCGAGCCCCCGGAGGGAAGCGGGCUGGGAGCGGCGCGUCCCGGCGCCGGAUGGCGGCCGAUCGCCUCACCAUAGCGCUGCGCGGUUCGGCGUCCCGACGAUGGCGGCUGCGAAAGAGGCGGAAGGGGCGUGGCGAGGGCGGGGCGGCGACGCGGGCCCGUGGGCACAGCGCCCCCCUGCGGCGCGGCUCUGAG